rnacentral:misc_RNA from 1 species
AAGUCGUAACAAGGUUUCCGUAGGUGAACCUGCGGAAGGAUCAUUAAUGAAUGAUAGUUUUUUGGGGUUUUCCCUGAAAAAUAAUUCACCUUUUGUGCAUUGUUAUUUAGAUAUACUUUGGUUAGUGCUUUGGUUCUAAAAAACAUUUGGAAUCAACUUCUUGCUAACUCUAUCCUUUCCGAGGACAGUUGGCUAUGAAGCGGCCUACCAAGGUUUUUUUUUAUCAAACUCUUGUAUUUUGUCUGACCUAAAAACAAAUAAUUAAAUCAUAACUUUCAACAACGGAUCUCUUGGCUCUC